rnacentral:rRNA from 1 species
ACGCACGCUGGCGGCGUGCCUAAUCCAUGCAAGUAGCACGCUGAAGAGAGGAGCUUGCUCUUCUUGGAUGAGUUGCGAACGGGUGAGUAACGCGUAGGUAACCUGCCUUGUAGCGGGGGAUAACUAUUGGAAACGAUAGCUAAUACCGCAUAACAAUGGAUGACACAUGUCAUUUAUUUGAAAGGGGCAAUUGCUCCACUACAAGAUGGACCUGCGUUGUAUUAGCUAGUAGGUGAGGUAAUGGCUCACCUAGGCGACGAUACAUAGCCGACCUGAGAGGGUGAUCGGCCACACUGGGACUGAGACACGGCCCAGACUCCUACGGGAGGCAGCAGUAGGGAAUCUUCGGCAAUGGGGGCAACCCUGACCGAGCAACGCCGCGUGAGUGAAGAAGGUUUUCGGAUCGUAAAGCUCUGUUGUAAGUCAAGAACGGGUGUGAGAGUGGAAAGUUCACACUGUGACGGUAGCUUACCAGAAAGGGACGGCUAACUACGUG